rnacentral:rRNA from 1 species
AUUGAACGCUGGCGGCAUGCUUUACACAUGCAAGUCGAACGGUAACAGGCCGCAAGGUGCUGACGAGUGGCGAACGGGUGAGUAAUGCAUCGGAACGUGCCCAGUCGUGGGGUAUAACUACUCGAAAGAGUAGCUAAUACCGCAUACGAUCUAUGGAUGAAAGCGGGGGACCGUAAGGCCUCGCGCGAUUGGACCGGCCGAUGUCAGAUUAGGUAGUUGGUGGGGUAAAGGCUCACCAAGCCAACGAUCUGUAGCUGGUCUGAGAGGACGACCAGCCACACUGGGACUGAGACACGGCCCAGACUCCUACGGGAGGCAGCAGUGGGGAAUUUUGGACAAUGGGCGCAAGCCUGAUCCAGCAAUGCCGCGUGCAGGAAGAAGGCCUUCGGGUUGUAAACUGCUUUUGUACGGAACGAAACGGCUCUGGUUAAUACCCGGGGCUAAUGACGGUACCGUAAGAAUAAGCACCGGCUAACUACGUG